AAUGAACGCUGGCGGCAGGCCUAACACAUGCAAGUCGAGCGAAGUCUUCGGACUUAGCGGCGGACGGGUGAGUAACGCGUGGGAACAUGCCCUUUGGUGCGGAAUAGCCCCGGGAAACUGGGAGUAAUACCGCAUGUGCCCUUCGGGGGAAAGAUUUAUCGCCAAAGGAUUGGCCCGCGUUGGAUUAGGUAGUUGGUGGGGUAAUGGCCUACCAAGCCGACGAUCCAUAGCUGGUUUGAGAGGAUGAUCAGCCACACUGGGACUGAGACACGGCCCAGACUCCUACGGGAGGCAGCAGUGGGGAAUCUUAGACAAUGGGCGCGAGCCUGAUCUAGCCAUGCCGCGUGAUCGAUGAAGGCCUUAGGGUUGUCAAGAUCUUUCAGUGGGGAAGAUAAUGACGGUACCCACAGAAGAAGCCCCGGCUAACUACGUG
rnacentral:rRNA from 1 species